rnacentral:misc_RNA from 1 species
UGAAAAGCAUGAGAACACUGGGCUGUAAAUAUAGCGUGGCCUGGGUUGUUCUCAUGCUUUUCACUUUGCCUGCAUCUCAUCCAAUGUACGCCAUGGUAGUGUCACCUGCCCCAUCUGCCGUGCCCAUUGGACCCAGCUUCCUCGCAACCUAAACCCACCUUGUUCGUUGUCUUGCAACCAAACUGACCCCAUUUUCCAAAUUCUUGAUGACUCCAUUGCCACUUUCCGCGUCCAUAGACGCUCCUUCCUGCGCUCUGCCCGUUACAAUGAUGAUGACCCCAUAGAGCCUGAGGACACCUCCAACCAUCCACGCCUUGAGUUCUCUCUUGUGCCCGUGCCACCAACACUCCUUCAUCAUCCAUGCACUCAAGCCACUGGACGCAGCUCACGCUACCAUAAUGUUCACCACUUAACAGGCUUCUCUUCUUCAUUGUUUGUACACCCACCAACUUCUUAUACAUGCUCCUCCUCAAAUAGGAGACCUGCUGUCUCUCUCUCUGUAAAAUCAACACAUCAAAGAGCAAUAGACUUGGUUCUGGUUGCAAGCCCCAACGGACCACAUUUGAGGCUUGUCAAGCAAUCCAUGGCAUUAGUGGUAUUCUCCCUCCGCCCUGUUGAUCGUUUGGCUAUUGUGACUUACUCUUCAUCUGCUUCUCGCAUCUUUCCAUUGAGACGCAUGACAUCCUAUGGUAAGCGAACAGCUCUGCAAGUAAUUGACCGUCUUUUCUUCAUGGGGCAAGCAGAUCCGACUGAGGGCCUCAAGAAAGGUAUAAAGAUACUUGAAGAUCGUGCGCACAAGAAUCCAAAUUCCUGUAUCUUGCAUCUCUCUGAUAGUCCAACGAGAUCAUACCAUGCCAUCAACAUGCAAUAUCCCAUUCCAAUCCAUCGGUUUCAUGUGGGAUUUGGCUUUGGAACUUCCAAUGGAUUUGUCAUGCAUGAGUUUGAAGAGUUCUUAGUGAGACUGCUUGGAUGUGUGAUCAGAGAUGUUCAAUUGAAAAUUGGGGAAGAAGGCAGAAUAAUAAGGCUUGGAGAGCUAAGAGGCAAUGAAGAAAGGAUAAUUUUAUUAGAAUUGGGCAAUUCUGGACAUGUCUGCGUGGGAUACAGCUACAUUGAGGGCGGAGUUGAUGAGUGCACCAGAACGGGAGAAACUGUGGUUAGUUUAAGGGAUAAACGGGAAGCACAUGAUACUAACAUAGAUGCUGUCGUUGCAGGGAGGGAAGCAAACAUAAUUGGAGGGAGGACUAGUAGCGUUGAGAGUUGGGAUUACCAUGAUCCUUACAUGGCUAGAAGAUGGGCUAAACAUUUGCAUGGUUAUAGGCUUUGAAUUACAGAAUCAAAACUUCACCAUACAUAUAUGCAUACAUCAAUCAGAUCCACAAGAAGAUUUCAGUCAUUCUGUGUGAGCUUCCUAAUGGUUGAACAAGCAGCUAUGCUUAAACUGCGGGAAAAAAUAUGUUUUAAUGAGAGUGCUUUAACAAAAUCCACAAAUGUAGCUAAAGACUUGCAAAAUCAUACCUCAUCCUUUAAUGCAUACAUCCAUUGUAACUUUGUAGGACUCCUUAACAUCAGCUGCUUAUAAAUUUAAGUAAAAGCAUUUAAUAUAUAUUUCCCACAAAAUUUGCAACUUGGAAGCCUAAUGCAAUACAUACACCACGUAGCCAGCACUGUAGAACACACUUCAAUAACUUCCAUGACACUCCAGAGAAUGCAUUCAGUAAUACAUCGAGUCGGUAAUUUUAAUAAUCAGUAGUCUUUAAGACUUAUAAACUCAUGGAAUUUAUCGCUACAAUUAAAACUAUGGUUGCCAAGAAAGGAACUUGUUCAAGCAAUUGCAAGUUCAAAAACAAAGAUCGAAUACAAGAAUUAGUCAUGAAGAUAGUCAUAAGUUGAGAAAUCACUGUAUAGUAGAGAUCCAUUCUCAGAGUAGUGAAGAAGGUAAUAGCAGCCAUUACAGAAAUAGCAAGGGUUAU